rnacentral:lncRNA from 1 species
GUCAUUUCAUUGGCACGGAUGGUCCUGAAUUAAAGGGCCUUCAGAGGUCCAUUGCUAUGGACAAACAAUCCGUGACUGUGAGAGAGGGCUGACGUGAGAGGAUAUUGAAGCUGACGUAGGAGCUCUUAAUUCCAUCAAUGUUUAUGAGAAGCAGUAUGGAAUAGAGGUUAAAGUGCCAAACUUAAGAGUUCAAAGGGCCAAAAUUCAAAUCAUACCUUAGAUACUUCUUAGCUCACCUACCUUCUUACCUCUUUUCUCCAGGGCCUUCCCAGAAAGCCCUGUAUCACCUUUCGACCCAAGCAACCCACCUCAUGACCUCAACUCUGGAUUGUCUAUUGCCUGCUCCAGGAUUCUGAGGUGCUUCAGAGCCUUCCAUAGUUCUCCAGAGACCAUUCUUGGACCACACUCACCUUCCAUUGCCACCUCCUACCUCCUAAUGGGACUCACCUGUGCCAUACCUCCAUUUGCUUCUUCCUGCUAUGAGUUGCUAGAGAUUGUGGGAGCUGGGUGUGAGUGA